GACAGAUGCCCGUAAAUAUACGAAUCAGCAUUCAUGAGGUGCAUGUGGUCACGUCCCGUGGCUGUUACAGACAAACUGUUAGGAGAAAAACGAGAAUGUGAAGAAGAACGAGUCUCCUGUAGUUAGUUUCUCUUAUCGUUUAUGAAGAAAUGUGUUUUAUAAUGUACUCCAUAUCUGUGAGUAUCCCGCACCGGCGGGGGAGAUCAUUCAUUGUAGCGCACACCUCAUUAGUGUCUGUGUGUACAUCAUAGUAUUAAUAAAGUAGUUGUAGGAAAGUUAAACCCUCUUCAUCCACAUUCGUCUCUGGCCACUAGAUGGCGAAUCUGCGUAACUGAAUAAACAUGGCGCAUGUGCCGGAUCACCACACAACGAUGAUUUGAUUGAGACAUCUGAGGCAUGUACACCACACUGACUGCAUCUAACUCAAUCUGUGCGCGAUGAUGAAGAAAUAACAAAUCUUAUUCCCACUAUGGAAGUCUAUGGUGGCCAAGAACUGUUUGGUUACAAGCAUUCUUCCAAAUAUCUUUUGUGUUCAUCAGAAAAUGAUAAAGAUUUGAAAUAAGUCAUGGUGAAGUUCCACUCAUACGAUGACUAACAACAGAAAUACUCUGAAAACGCUCUGGAACUGAUUUGAGAUGACUUACCGAUCGAGUCUUUGUUUGGCGACCUUUAUCCUGAGCUGUGCAUCAGAGCAGUAGGCG